rnacentral:rRNA from 1 species
GACGAACGCUGGCGGCGUGCUUAACACAUGCAAGUCGAACGAAGAGCGAUGGAAGCUUGCUUCUAUCAAUCUUAGUGGCGAACGGGUGAGUCACGCGUAAUCAACCUGCCCUUCAGAGGGGGACAACAGUUGGAAACGACUGCUAAUACCGCAUACGAUCUAAUCUCGGCAUCGAGGAUAGAUGAAAGGUGGCCUCUACAUGUAAGCUAUCACUGAAGGAGGGGAUUGCGUCUGAUUAGCUAGUUGGAGGGGUAACGGCCCACCAAGGCGAUGAUCAGUAGCCGGUCUGAGAGGAUGAACGGCCACAUUGGGACUGAGACACGGCCCAGACUCCUACGGGAGGCAGCAGUGGGGAAUCUUCCGCAAUGGACGAAAGUCUGACGGAGCAACGCCGCGUGAGUGAUGACGGCCUUCGGGUUGUAAAGCUCUGUUAAUCGGGACGAAAGGCCUUCUUGCGAAUAGUGAGAAGGAUUGACGGUACCGAAAUAGAAAGCCACGGCUAACUACGUG